rnacentral:rRNA from 1 species
CUUGGUCAUUUAGAGGAAGUAAAAGUCGUAACAAGGUUUCCGUAGGUGAACCUGCGGAAGGAUCAUUACCGAGUGAGGGUCCUCGUGGCCCAACCUCCAACCCUGUGUUUACACAUACCCUGUUGCUUUGGCGGGCCCGUCUUCGGACCGCCGGGGGUUCGCAUGAAUCUCUGGCCUGUGCCCGCCAAUGGCCCCCAACAACAAACGCUGAUACAAAUCGUGACCUUCUUAGUUAUCAACGAAAAAUCGUUAAAAACUUUCAACAACGGAUCUCUUGGUUCUGGCAUCGAUGAAGAACGCAGCGAAAUGCGAUAAGUAAUGCGAAUUGCAGAAUUUAGUGAGUCAUCGAAUUUUUGAACGCACAUUGCGCCCUUUGGUAUUCCGAAGGGCAUGCCUGUUCGAGCGUCAUUGUCAACCCUCAAGCCUGGCUUGCUGUUGAGCCCUCAGCCCGUCACACCGGCUGGCUCGAAAGACAGUGGCAGAGUCGGUUCGGACCCUGGAUGCAACGAGCUCGUCACGAGCACGCAUCGAAGUGGCCGGGCGACCCUUCGCCGAGACCUUUUUUUCUUCUCAAGGUUGACCUCGGAUCAGGUAGGAAUACCCGCUGAACUUAAGCAUAUCAAUAAGCGGAGGA